GACGGACGCUGGCGGCGUGCUUAACACAUGCAAGUCGAACGGAAAGGCCCCAGCUUGCUGGGGUACUCGAGUGGCGAACGGGUGAGUAACACGUGGGUGAUCUGCCCUGCACUCUGGGAUAAGCCUGGGAAACUGUGUCUAAUACCGGAUAGGACCGUGCUUUAGUGUGUGCGGUGGAAAGUUUUUCGGUGCAGGAUGAGCCCGCGGCCUAUCAGCUUGUUGGUGGGGUAAUGGCCUACCAAGGCGGCGACGGGUAGCCGGCCUGAGAGGGUGUACGGCCACAUUGGGACUGAGACACGGCCCAGACUCCUACGGGAGGCAGCAGUGGGGAAUAUUGCACAAUGGGCGCAAGCCUGAUGCAGCGACGCCGCGUGGGGGAUGACGGCCUUCGGGUUGUAAACCCCUUUCGGCAGGGACGAAGCUUUUGUGACGGUACCUGCAUAAGAAGCACCGGCUAACUACGUG
rnacentral:rRNA from 1 species